CCGGCACGGGUGAGUAACACGUAUCCAACCUGCCGUCUACUCUUGGACAGCCUUCUGAAAGGAAGAUUAAUACAAGAUGGCAUCAUGAGUUCACAUGUUCACAUGAUUAAAGGUAUUCCGGUAGACGAUGGGGAUGCGUUCCAUUAGAUAGUAGGCGGGGUAACGGCCCACCUAGUCUUCGAUGGAUAGGGGUUCUGGGAGGAAGGCCCCCCACAUUGGAACUGAGACACGGUCCAA
rnacentral:rRNA from 1 species